UACGAAGGGGGCUAGCGUUGCUCGGAAUCACUGGGCGUAAAGGGUGCGUAGGCGGGUUUUUAAGUCAGGGGUGAAAUCCUGGAGCUCAACUCCAGAACUGCCUUUGAUACUGAAGAUCUCGAGUCCGGGAGAGGUGAGUGGAACUGCGAGUGUAGAGGUGAAAUUCGUAGAUAUUCGGAAGAACACCAGUGGCGAAGGCGACUCACUGGACACGUAUUGACGCUGAGGUGCGAAAGCGUGGGGAGCAAACAGG
rnacentral:rRNA from 1 species